CACCAAUGGAGCCGUGACACCUCAGCACCGUGUAUGAAUUUGAGAAAAAAUCACUACAAAAUAUGAGAGUUAAGGGGACAAGUAAAUUGGACGACUAAUAAAUAAUGGUCCCCUAAACCUUUCACCUAAAUUAUACAGGGACCAAAAAAAUUAUCGUCCGCAAUUCAUCUAAAAUUCCACAAUAGGGGACGAUAAUUAAAUUGUUCUUCUCGAGACGAAUUAAAAUCUCUUUUUUUAGUACCCUUACCUUUGUUCUCAGUUUUUUAAUUGAUAAUAAAACCCUAAACUCAAAUUAGCUGUGUUUUUCUUUGGUUAGAAUCAAAAAAGAAAAAAAAUAUAAAUUUUCAAUUCCUUCUCAAGAUCCGAAAACCUCUUUUAUCUUUCUCUCUAUCAAUCAAAUUUAUCACUUGUUUGGUUAAUCGAAGUCAGUGUACACUACAAGCUUGAACAACAAUUUAUUGUAAAUAGGAGGGCCAAUAUGAUUCUGGAGCAUUUCUUUGAUUCUUAAUAAAGAGAACAGAUUAAAAUCUUGUCUAUUGAAGAAGGUGUUAAUGGAUAGAGUUAUAGCCUACAGGGAGGAUGUAUAUCCAUUUCAGCUAAACAUUGCUGAAAUUGAGGAUUGAUGGUUCAUAGUCAACUAGGGAGAUGCUAUGGUUAUUGAAUUAGCAUUGAAGCUUGAUAAUGGUCAAGAAUGUCAAUUAAAUGGUUUGUGUGAAACUUGAAGUAAGCUUAUUUAGAUUUCAGUGAUGUUUUCUCCUACUCCUAAGGAACAAGAUGCACGACAAACGAACAUAAUAUGUGUUUUUGAUGUUAUCAAAUGUUUAUGGCCGAAAUGCAUGGUAGAAGUGUUUGGUUCUUAGAGAAAUGAACAAGUGAUAUUGAUUUAAGUAAAGCUUUUCCAGAAGUACACUUCCUAUUUUGAUGAAUAGGUGAUUGUAAAGGGUUGUGCCAAUUAUAUUAACUCGAGUGAUUUGAUACAAUUUUAUGCGAACACAACACAACGGCACCCCUGCACCAACCUCAGACAGAAGCAACAGUAGUAUAAGGCAACAUCAAAAUGACAACGCGUGCUUAGGCGAAAAAGUAUCAUUUUCGUGAAGACUUAAUGAAGUUAAUGUGAUCUUUUUAUUAUAUAUACACGAUUAUCUUACUUCAUUUAUUUGUUUAUGAUAUUUAGUAGAUUUUUUUUAACAUGUACUGUUAUUUCAGACAUAAUUUUUAAUGCACUGAAUUAUUGUAUGUUUCAUUUUUGAAUGAUAUAAUAAUAUUACAUAUUUAAAUA